rnacentral:rRNA from 1 species
CCUACGGGAGGCAGCAGUGGGGAAUUUUGGACAAUGGGCGAAAGCCUGAUCCAGCAAUGCCGCGUGCAGGAUGAAGGCCUUCGGGUUGUAAACUGCUUUUGUACGGAACGAAACGGUCGCUUCUAAUAAGGGUGGCUAAUGACGGUACCGUAAGAAUAAGCACCGGCUAACUACGUGCCAGCAGCCGCGGUAAUACGUAGGGUGCGAGCGUUAAUCGGAAUUACUGGGCGUAAAGCGUGCGCAGGCGGUUAUAUAAGACAGAUGUGAAAUCCCCGGGCUCAACCUGGGACCUGCAUUUGUGACUGUAUAGCUAGAGUACGGUAGAGGGGGAUGGAAUUCCGCGUGUAGCAGUGAAAUGCGUAGAUAUGCGGAGGAACACCGAUGGCGAAGGCAAUCCCCUGGACCUGUACUGACGCUCAUGCACGAAAGCGUGGGGAGCAAACAGGAUUAGAUACCCUGGUAGUCCACGUCCUAAACGAUGUCAACUGGUUGUUGGGUCUUCACUGACUCAGUAACGAAGCUAACGCGUGAAGUUGACCGCCUGGGGAGUACGGCGCAAGGUUGAACUUAAAGGAAUUGACGA